rnacentral:rRNA from 1 species
GCCAGACUCCUACGGGAGGCAGCAGUGGGGGAUAUUGCACAAUGGGGGGAACCCUGAUGCAGCGACGCCGCGUGAGCGAUGAAGUAUUUCGGUAUGUAAAGCUCUAUCAGCAGGGAAGAAAAUGACGGUACCUGACUAAGAAGCCCCGGCUAACUACGUGCCAGCAGCCGCGGUAAUACGUAGGGGGCGAGCGUUAUCCGGAUUCACUGGGUGUAAAGGGAGCGUAGACGGCCGUGCAAGCCAGGAGUGAAAGCCCGGGGCCCAACCCCGGGACUGCUCUUGGAACUGUGCGGCUGGAGUGCGGGAGGGGCAGGCGGAAUUCCUGGUGUAGCGGUGAAAUGCGUAGAUAUCAGGAGGAACACCGGCGGCGAAGGCGGCCUGCUGGACCGCGACUGACGUUGAGGCUCGAAAGCGUGGGGAGCGAACAGGAUUAGAUACCCUAGUAAC